CAGUAGCCGCGGUAAUUCGUAGGUGGCAAGCGUUGUCCGGAAUUAUCGGGCGUAAAGGGCUCGCAGGCGGUUUCUUAAGUCUGAUGUGAAAGCCCCCGGCUCAACCGGGGAGGGUCAUUGGAAACUGGGAAACUUGAGUGCAGAAGAGGAGAGUGGAAUUCCACGUGUAGCGGUGAAAUGCGUAGAGAUGUGGAGGAACACCAGUGGCGAAGGCGACUCUCUGGUCUGUAACUGACGCUGAGGAGCGAAAGCGUGGGGAGCGAACAGGAUUAGAUACCCGAGUAGUCCCUGUCUCUUAUAC
rnacentral:rRNA from 1 species